UCCUGACCUGACCUCACCUGGUCAGCCCCACAUGCUCUCUAGGGCCUCUGAGGUUUCCCAUUUAUUUUCAGCAGGUACAACAUAAACCAACAGAAGACACAAAUAAGAAAUCUUCUCAUUGUGGAAAAGCUGGGCUACAUGGAUGAGCAGGAAGAAGGUUGCAAACUCGGAUGGAGAGUGUGACCCUUCUGAGAAGCCUGCCCCUGAUUCCUGUUCUCCCAGGACUCCUCUUCUGUUGCAGACAAGUGCCUUACAGCUCAGCUGUGACAGCAACCUGGAUCUGGGCGAGAAACCAAGCAGCAUUCAGAGAGUUGAACAACUCAGACGAGAAGGAUGGACAGUCUGCAGCGCCAAAACCCACUUCCCAGUGCUGGUCUCCUUGGGCUCAGCCGACCAGGCGCACCUGGUUGCUGUUUCCUGUGGAUUCAUUGUCAGGCUCUGCGGGACAGAUGAGGAAACGGAGGCUCCCAGGAGCAAGAACGACUUACGCAGGUCACCACCCCAGAGCUACACCCUCAGCCCAUGCACCGUCUGCUCCCAUCUUACUGAACCUCCACCAAGUUCCAGAGGAACAGGGCCACCCCCACUUCACAGAUCAAGCCACUGAGGCUCACAGAGGGAGACGGAACAGCUUGGUCCCACGCCUUUUCAUCCUUCCAGACAACAAAGCCACAGAGGCCAGGCCAGCGGCCCCUCCUCUGCUCUACCUGGGCUGGUUUGCUGUCUUCUGUUCUGAGACUCUGAGCCCAGCCCCUGCCCAGUGGUGCUGGCCCUAGGCCACCUGCCCAGGUGUCCCAAAGACCCAGCUGCUCCUCCCUGGCGCAGAGCAGGAGGUGGCGGGGCAGGCAGAUGGCUGAGACCUGGGGCUUCUGGAGACUCCACAGUCAUUGAGUCCAGGGCAGUUCCCCUCUAAGCAGCACCAGUCUGUCGGACCACUCGGGGCUUGCCUGGUGCUGGAGUCCUGCACGCGCAGGCCUUUUCUGCCAAGAUGGUUUUGUGUUCGGCAUCCAUGCAUGGGCUCACUGGUCUGUUCAUUCAUCAUCUUACUGGAGCCUUGGGCUGUGCUCUGAGCCCAAAGAAACGCCAAGGGGCAGGAGACUGGUAAUAAGGAACCUUUCAAGCCACCUUCCCAGCAAGUUCUGAAACACUGGGACAGGCCCAGGUCAGUGCGGGUGCAGAGGACUGUCAACCACCCCGCAGCGUUCAGCAGCCUGGAAGAGCUGACUCUGAGACGAGCCUGCCCUGCGUUUAAGCAUGCUUCCUCCUGGACCCCCACUGCUCAGAGAUUCUCCAGUGGCUGCAGAUGGGCUGUUCCCAGGACAAGAAAGGGGAUGUGGGCUGUGGAUUCCAGAGAGGACCCGGGGCGUCUGGGAUGCGCUCCCCUGUGGUUCUCCGGGUAGGAGCCGAGUUCGACAGAGUUGACUGUGGGUAUGUGUAUGUUUGGUGGUUAUGUGACUAAAGUUUGGCCAAUCAGAGCAUCACAUCCUCCUGGCCCCCUGAUAGGUUCAGGGAUGAACAUAUUUCCAAGUGGGUCCACUGAGACCCAGUCUGCACUCCAGUGGGAUGGUUCAGACGAGAGAGGAUCUGUGUACGAGAUGUGGAGCUAUGGAUACGUAAUUGCCCCAAGGUUGCCAGGGGAGAGAGCUUGUCUGAGAGUGAAGUACAGCUUCCAUGUCUGAAGGUCACUGUUAGAGGACCUGGAUCCAGCCAUGCCCGAAGCUGGAAAUAACCUAGACUUGACUAAGAGCCAACUUCUUCUAUACCCAAGUCAGUCUGAGUCAGGCUUUCUGGCACUCAUCUAAGAGACCUGGCUGAAUAGGAAGAAAGACAACAGGAGAUAAAGGCAGAGAGUGGCUGGGUAUAGUUUGGGAGAAGUGACAGGGAAACAGUCUAGUUGGAUGGCGGUAUUAAAUGGCGUUUUAUGAAUCACGUUGUAAAUUUUCCACUUGAAACUCUUUGCAUCAUGGCAGCAUAAGCCACGUCUUCCCCUCUGGCUCCUCAGUCAGGUCUACUGCAGAUACACAGAAGUGAUGAAUCAGAUAUAGCCAUUUGAAAGAACUCAGAGCCAAGGGCAAACACUGGAAGGGGAGAUGCCCGGCCUGUGUGAGGGGCAGGCGGUGGAGCUGAAAUGCCCACGAGGGGUCAGGACCGAGGUUCUGACGUCACAAGUAGGGACAGGGUCACAAGACCCCGUGUGGUGAGUUAGAAGGAGGCCCCCUGCACGAAGCCGGGGCCGGCCAGGGAG